GAUCAUUGCAAUUGUUGGUC
rnacentral:siRNA from 1 species